GGGUUGUGAGGUUAAGCGACUAAGCGUACACGGUGGAUGCCCUGGCAGUCAGAGGCGAUGAAGGACGUGCUAAUCUGCGAUAAGCGUCGGUGAGGUGAUAUGAACCGUUAUAACCGGCGAUUUCCGAAUGGGGAAACCCAGUGUGUUUCGACACACUAUCAUUAACUGAAUCCAUAGGUUAAUGAGGCGAACCGGGGGAACUGAAACAUCUAAGUACCCCGAGGAAAAGAAAUCAACCGAGAUUCCCCCAGUAGCGGCGAGCGAACGGGGAGGAGCCCAGAGCCUGAAUCAGUGUGUGUGUUAGUGGAAGCGUCUGGAAAGGCGCGCGAUACAGGGUGACAGCCCCGUACACAAAAAUGCACAUACUGUGAGCUCGAUGAGUAGGGCGGGACACGUGGUAUCCUGUCUGAAUAUGGGGGGACCAUCCUCCAAGGCUAAAUACUCCUGACUGACCGAUAGUGAACCAGUACCGUGAGGGAAAGGCGAAAAGAACCCCGGCGAGGGGAGUGAAAAAGAACCUGAAACCGUGUACGUACAAGCAGUGGGAGCCUCUUAAUGGGGUGACUGCGUACCUUUUGUAUAAUGGGUCAGCGACUUAUAUUCUGUAGCAAGGUUAACCGAAUAGGGGAGCCGAAGGGAAACCGAGUCUUAACUGGGCGUUAAGUUGCAGGGUAUAGACCCGAAACCCGGUGAUCUAGCCAUGGGCAGGUUGAAGGUUGGGUAACACUAACUGGAGGACCGAACCGACUAAUGUUGAAAAAUUAGCGGAUGACUUGUGGCUGGGGGUGAAAGGCCAAUCAAACCGGGAGAUAGCUGGUUCUCCCCGAAAGCUAUUUAGGUAGCGCCUCGUGAAUUCAUCUCCGGGGGUAGAGCACUGUUUCGGCAAGGGGGUCAUCCCGACUUACCAACCCGAUGCAAACUGCGAAUACCGGAGAAUGUUAUCACGGGAGACACACGGCGGGUGCUAACGUCCGUCGUGAAGAGGGAAACAACCCAGACCGCCAGCUAAGGUCCCAAAGUCAUGGUUAAGUGGGAAACGAUGUGGGAAGGCCCAGACAGCCAGGAUGUUGGCUUAGAAGCAGCCAUCAUUUAAAGAAAGCGUAAUAGCUCACUGGUCGAGUCGGCCUGCGCGGAAGAUGUAACGGGGCUAAACCAUGCACCGAAGCUGCGGCAGCGACACUAUGUGUUGUUGGGUAGGGGAGCGUUCUGUAAGCCUGUGAAGGUGGCCUGUGAGGGUUGCUGGAGGUAUCAGAAGUGCGAAUGCUGACAUAAGUAACGAUAAAGCGGGUGAAAAGCCCGCUCGCCGGAAGACCAAGGGUUCCUGUCCAACGUUAAUCGGGGCAGGGUGAGUCGACCCCUAAGGCGAGGCCGAAAGGCGUAGUCGAUGGGAAACAGGUUAAUAUUCCUGUACUUGGUGUUACUGCGAAGGGGGGACGGAGAAGGCUAUGUUGGCCGGGCGACGGUUGUCCCGGUUUAAGCGUGUAGGCUGGUUUUCCAGGCAAAUCCGGAAAACCAAGGCUGAGGCGUGAUGACGAGGCACUACGGUGCUGAAGCGACAAAUGCCCUGCUUCCAGGAAAAGCCUCUAAGCAUCAGGUAACAUCAAAUCGUACCCCAAACCGACACAGGUGGUCAGGUAGAGAAUACCAAGGCGCUUGAGAGAACUCGGGUGAAGGAACUAGGCAAAAUGGUGCCGUAACUUCGGGAGAAGGCACGCUGAUAUGUAGGUGAAGCGACUUGCUCGUGGAGCUGAAAUCAGUCGAAGAUACCAGCUGGCUGCAACUGUUUAUUAAAAACACAGCACUGUGCAAACACGAAAGUGGACGUAUACGGUGUGACGCCUGCCCGGUGCCGGAAGGUUAAUUGAUGGGGUUAGCGGUAACGCGAAGCUCUUGAUCGAAGCCCCGGUAAACGGCGGCCGUAACUAUAACGGUCCUAAGGUAGCGAAAUUCCUUGUCGGGUAAGUUCCGACCUGCACGAAUGGCGUAAUGAUGGCCAGGCUGUCUCCACCCGAGACUCAGUGAAAUUGAACUCGCUGUGAAGAUGCAGUGUACCCGCGGCAAGACGGAAAGACCCCGUGAACCUUUACUAUAGCUUGACACUGAACAUUGAGCCUUGAUGUGUAGGAUAGGUGGGAGGCUUUGAAGUGUGGACGCCAGUCUGCAUGGAGCCGACCUUGAAAUACCACCCUUUAAUGUUUGAUGUUCUAACGUUGGCCCGUAAUCCGGGUUGCGGACAGUGUCUGGUGGGUAGUUUGACUGGGGCGGUCUCCUCCUAAAGAGUAACGGAGGAGCACGAAGGUUGGCUAAUCCUGGUCGGACAUCAGGAGGUUAGUGCAAUGGCAUAAGCCAGCUUGACUGCGAGCGUGACGGCGCGAGCAGGUGCGAAAGCAGGUCAUAGUGAUCCGGUGGUUCUGAAUGGAAGGGCCAUCGCUCAACGGAUAAAAGGUACUCCGGGGAUAACAGGCUGAUACCGCCCAAGAGUUCAUAUCGACGGCGGUGUUUGGCACCUCGAUGUCGGCUCAUCACAUCCUGGGGCUGAAGUAGGUCCCAAGGGUAUGGCUGUUCGCCAUUUAAAGUGGUACGCGAGCUGGGUUUAGAACGUCGUGAGACAGUUCGGUCCCUAUCUGCCGUGGGCGCUGGAGAACUGAGGGGGGCUGCUCCUAGUACGAGAGGACCGGAGUGGACGCAUCACUGGUGUUCGGGUUGUCAUGCCAAUGGCACUGCCCGGUAGCUAAAUGCGGAAGAGAUAAGUGCUGAAAGCAUCUAAGCACGAAACUUGCCCCGAGAUGAGUUCUCCCUGA
rnacentral:rRNA from 1 species